UCAGAUUCGGCUUUCCGGCACUCCAGGAGGACGUGGAGGACGGUAAGCCUCUCCUCGCAUCUACCGCAGGUUGGAGGGUCAUUUCCGAAGGCACGCACCAGAGGAAAAAAGGAACUGUUCAACAAGUCGACCUCGCGCAUCUAUACGAGAGUCGCCCCACAGGGAGCUGUGCGCAUUGAAAUCGCCAAGUACAACGUAAGGUUCUGGCAAUUGAUCAAUAAAGGAUUGGAAUUCAUGC
rnacentral:lncRNA from 1 species